UAAUAAGUGGCUUAAAUUAGCACUUGACUUGCAAUCUACAGGUCCUGGGUUCGAAUCCCGCCAUAUCAA
rnacentral:tRNA from 1 species